GGUAAGGCAACGGGUUUUGGUCCCGCUAUUCGGAGGUUCGAAUCCCUCCGUCCCAG
rnacentral:tRNA from 1 species